UCCGAAUUGGUGUAGUGGCUAACAUUUGACGCUCUCAUAACCGGUGCCGUCAAGCCCGGGGUUCGAUUCCCCGAUUCGGAG